UAAAAGAUAAGCUAAUAAAGCUAAUGGGUUCAUACCCCAUUUAUAAGAGUCAAGCCUCUUUCUUUUAA
rnacentral:tRNA from 1 species